AAAAAUAUGGACAAAGCUACUGUGACGUCACCCAUUGACUCUCCGUGGGUCUCCGAAAAUACGUUUUGAAGCUCAAUGGCGGGCGCGGCCAUUUUGGAGUUGGAGCCAAAACCACAGAGUUUAAAAGCCGCUCUGUGAGUUUUACAGUGUGAUUGACAGCCCGGUGCGGAAAAGCCCAUGACCUUCAAGCAUGUUUCACUUACCCAUCAACCUGAACCUGUACGAACCACGAACGAACUCGAGAUCAUCAAUGGAGAAAAGCAAACGUCCUAACCCAAAGAAUGUGUGGAUUGUGGGAGACAGCUACAUCCGGCGUGGGGAGGAGAGAGCACGGAAGACUGUGGGGACCAGCCUGGGUCUGGACACCAUUGUCCAUUGGUUUGGCUGGGGAGGCCUGAGGUGGGAGAGCCUUCUCCCUUUCAUUCACCAGUCCCUGAGAGGAAGAGCAGCCCCGGAUCUCCUGCUCAUUCACUGUGGCGGGAACGACCUUGGCAAGAUCAAGAGCCUUGAUCUCGUCACAGGAAUGAAGCAGGACCUGCAAGACCUCCACCGGCAAUCCCCAGGAACCAAGAUCUUCCUGUCUGGGAUCACUCAGCGACGUCGGUGGAGGACUGCCAAUCCGGGGAAGAUCGACAAAGCAAGGAAGUGGGUGAACAAUGUCAUGGCUGCAUUUGUUCAGGAUUUAGGAGGCAUUUUUGUCCCACAUCCUCACAUAACAUUUGAAAAUGAUGACCUAUUUCUCAAGGAUGGAGUUCAUUUCACACCUAGGGGAAAUGAUAUUUUUAAAAAUAAUAUAAUACAUUCCCUUAAAGACUGAAUCCAGGGGAGGAGAAGCUGCUGUCCUGAGUUUUCACCGCUCAUUUCUGGCAGUUUCUUCAAUCCUGGGUUUAGCUUUUAACGGAACAAUUUUUAAAAAUGAAAUAGGUCAUGUUUUUAAGCUUUAUGUGAUGAAUUUUAUAAAUUAAUUAAUUAAUUACUUUUAUUGGUAAUUUGUAGCCAUGACAUUGUUCAUCCAACUCCCCCUGCUCUUUCUCAUCCCUGUCCCUUAUCUUCCCUUUCCCCCCCACGUCUUGUCCUCUCCUGCCAUGCCAACCCAUGGCCUUUCUUGCUCCCUUCUCCUAAGCCAGAUGUAGCUGUCUGAUCUGUAAAUAGUAUUGUUUUCUUAGUUUUGCUUUACUUCUGCAUACACUUUAUAGUGGACUGGAGUUGCACCCCAGUUAAACCAUGGCAAUGACGAAUUUCUUUUAACCCCAAGCACUACUACUGGAAACAAAAUGACAGGGAAACAUUUCAAUUAAUAAACUGUUUUAAUGAAA